rnacentral:lncRNA from 1 species
CUCUCCCAGCACUGUGCCUGUCACAGGUAGAUAAAUGAGGUGGCAUAUGGGCAUCCAAAUGCAGAAGCAGCUACUCUCAGCAGUGUUCUGUGUAGAGGGUACCUGUGGGGUGGUCCUGGCUUCACAACUGUAGCCGUAAGCAGAUCUCUUCAUUGCUUGCCCCGUUUACAUAGGCAGAGAUGCUUUCUCGGAAUCUCCCAGCCUCCAGUGCGCCUUCGUUGGGUCCUUCUCAUCUCAGAGCCCUCCAGUGAAUCAUCAGUUCGUGAGCUCCAUGUCUCAUGUCUGUGGUUCCACAGAAUGUUACUAAUCAAAUCAACGUCUCAGCAAAAGCCAACGAGCGCUCCCGAAUUAGAUAGAGAGGGGUUGGACUUUCUGUUUUAAGAAAGCCUUGAUUAAGGAAAGCUGCCUGGGUUAGGCGGGAUGUGCUUCAGUUCAAUCCAGUUGCAACCUCUAGAGCAUCUUGAAAGAUACCAAGAGGUUUUCUACGCAAAACCCACAGACUUUAGAUCCCGUGGCUACGUUAAAAAAGACACUGGUUAUUCUCAGGGAGAUAGAUGCUAAAGCCUCUGGGCUAAUUUCUAAUCUCUGCGUGGCCAGUGUGGUGAUACCCCUGUAAGGGAGAGAGGGCUG